AACGAACGCUGGCGGCAGGCUUAACACAUGCAAGUCGAGCGAGACCUUCGGGUCUAGCGGCGGACGGGUGAGUAACGCGUGGGAACGUGCCCUUCUCUACGGAAUAGCCCCGGGAAACUGGGAGUAAUACCGUAUACGCCCUUUGGGGGAAAGAUUUAUCGGAGAAGGAUCGGCCCGCGUUGGAUUAGGUAGUUGGUGGGGUAAUGGCCCACCAAGCCGACGAUCCAUAGCUGGUUUGAGAGGAUGAUCAGCCACACUGGGACUGAGACACGGCCCAGAAUCCUACGGGAGGCAGCAGUGGGGAAUCUUAGACAAUGGGGGCAACCCUGAUCUAGCCAUGCCGGGUGAGUGAUGAAGGCCUUAGGGUUGUAAAGCUCUUUCAGCUGGGAAGAUAAUGACGGUACCAGCAGAAGAAGCCCCGGCUAACUCCGUG
rnacentral:rRNA from 1 species